rnacentral:rRNA from 1 species
CAGCCGUAAACAAUGUGCGUUAGGUGUGUCGGUAACCACGUGUUACUGAUGCGCCGAAGAGAAAUCGGUGAAACGCACCACCUGGGAAGUACGGUCGCAAGGCUGAAACUUAAAGGAAUUGGCGGGGGAGCACCACAACAGGUGGAGCCUGCGGUUUAAUUGGAUUCAACGCCGGACAUCUCACCGGAUAAGACAGCCUGAAUGAUUGUCAAUCUGAAGGUUUACAAUGACUAGCUGAGAGGUGGUGCAUGGCGUC